UCUACCCUCAGACAGAAUAGGACCUGCCCUGAACAAGGUUCUCUACCCUCAGUCCCCUCAGACAGAAUAGGACCUGCCCUGAACAAGGUUCUCUACCCUCAGUCCCCUCAGACAGAAUAGGACCUGCCCUGAACACGGUUCUCUACCCUCAGACAGAAUAGGACCUGCCCUGAACAAGGUUCUCUACCCUCAGUCCCCUCAGACAGAAUAGGACCUACCCUGAACAAGGUUCUCUACCCUCAGACAGAAUAGGACCUACCCUGAACAAGGUUCUCUACCCUCAGACAGACUAGGACCUGCCCUGAACAAGGUUCUCUACCCUCAGACAGAAUAGGACCUGCCCUGAACAAGAUUCUCUACCCUCAGUCCCCUCAGACAGAAUAGGACCUGCCCUGAACAAGGUUCUCUACCCUCAGACAGAAUAGGACCUGCCCUGAACAAGAUUCUCUACCCUCAGUCCCCUCAGACAGACUAGGACCUGCCCAGAACAAGGUUCUCUACCCUCAGACAGAAUAGGACCUGCCCUGAACAAGGUUCUCUACCCUCAGACAGAAUAGGACCUGCCCUGAACAAGGUUCUCUACCCUCAGACAGAAUAGGACCUGCCCUGAACAAGGUUCUCUACCCUCAGUCCCCUCAGACAGAAUAGGACCUGCCCUGAACAAGGUUCUCUACCCUCAGUCCCCUCAGACAGAAUAGGACCUGCCCUGAACAAGGUUCUCUACCCUCAGUCCCCUCAGACAGAAUAGGACCUGCCCUGAACAAGGUUCUCUACCCUCAGUCCCCUCAGACAGAAUAGGACCUGCCCUGAACAAGGUUAUUUUUGUGACUGAGUGAAGUCAUCCACUCUGUCCUCAACAGGAGAACUCUGGACCAGACUGACCAGCGAAGUGUUGACCCCCCGGUGGUCGUUACGACAACGUCACUUCCAGAAGGAAUUAACGACUUUUAAUAGUGGAUCAAAAUGUAAAUAUUACGUUUUUUAUUUUCAAGAAGGAAUAAUAUGUGGGGAUGUAAAUAAAUGAGUUUGAUGUU